rnacentral:snRNA from 1 species
AUACUAACCUUCCAGAGGAGACAUCACAGCCAUGCAGAUGGUUUCCUCAGGAAGAGGCUCACCCACUGAACUUGGGGUGUGCCGACCCCUGCGAGUUCCAAAAACGCAGGAAUCUAGGAUGCAUAAUUUGGAGCAC